UAGAGCGGCGGACGGGUGAGUAACACGUGGACAAUCUGGACCCCCCGGCCCGGGAUAGCCCAGGGAAACCUGGAUUAAUACCGGAUGAGACGGGACCCGCGAAGGCGGGACCGGGAAAGGCGCUGCGGCGCCGCCGGGGGAUGAGUCUGCGUCCCAUUAGCUAGACGGCGGGGUAACGGCCCACCGUGGCGACGAUGGGUAGCCGGCCUGAGAGGGUGGACGGCCACAUUGGAACUGAGACACGGUCCAGACUCCUACGGGAGGCAGCAGCUAAGAAUCUUCCGCAAUGGGCGAAAGCCUGACGGAGCGACGCCCGCGUAGAACGAAGAAGGCCGUGAGGUUGUAAAGUUCUUUUCGGGAGGGGGAACAACCGUGGCAGGGAAUGGCCGCGGGAUGACGUGAAUCCCGGAAUAAGCCCCGGCUAACUACGUGCCAGCCGCUGC
rnacentral:rRNA from 1 species